rnacentral:lncRNA from 1 species
UUGGCGUCGGUUGCGGUGCAGGUGUGGGUUGGAGCGCUGAUUAUUGAGGAGGUGCUUCCGCGGGUUACUCAGAGAUUCCGGUUGCUUAUCAUUGAUGAUCGGCGCCUGUUUUUUGCGUUUGUAUAUUUGUGGGGUUUCUGCUAUAGGGAGGUCUUUGGUGGAGUGCACUGGUUUGAUUGUCCUUGAGUCUUCCCAAUUGAUGCUGGUGUCAUCUUCAUGCGCUCGUUUGGCCAGGGCUGUUGUUAAUUUAGCAGUAGUGGUGUCCCUUUUGUGCUCUUUGGGCCUGUCCUCCGGGUUCCUUGCUGUUGCUCCCACG